UUAGCUCAUAUUUGUAUGGAAUGGGAUCGUUUGCGUACGUUUGCCGCUAGGGGCGCUGUUCCAACUGCAUACAAAAUUGGCUU
rfam:Bombyx mori DNA, contig: Bm_scaf1_contig844, strain: p50T/Dazao, build 2, whole genome shotgun sequence.